ACGAACGCUGGCGGCGUGCUUAACACAUGCAAGUCGAACGGUAAGGCCCUUCGGGGUACACGAGUGGCGAACGGGUGAGUAACACGUGGGUGAUCUGCCCUGCACUUCGGGAUAAGCCUGGGAAACUGGGUCUAAUACCGGAUAUGACUACGAAUCGCAUGGUUUGUGGUGGAAAGCUUUUGCGGUGUGGGAUGGGCCCGCGGCCUAUCAGCUUGUUGGUGGGGUGAUGGCCUACCAAGGCGACGACGGGUAGCCG
rnacentral:rRNA from 1 species